rnacentral:rRNA from 1 species
UGGGGAAUAUUGCGCAAUGGGCGAAAGCCUGACGCAGCGACGCCGCGUGAGGGAUGACGGUCUUCGGAUUGUAAACCUCUUUCAGCAGGGACGAAGCGUAAGUGACGGUACCUGCAGAAGAAGCACCGGCCAACUACGUGCCAGCAGCCGCGGUAAUACGUAGGGUGCAAGCGUUGUCCGGAAUUAUUGGGCGUAAAGAGCUCGUAGGCGGUUUGUCGCGUCGAAUGUGAAAGCCCGGGGCUCAACUCCGGGUCUGCAUUCGAUACGGGCAAACUAGAGUUCGGUAGGGGAGACUGGAAUUCCUGGUGUAGCGGUGAAAUGCGCAGAUAUCAGGAGGAACACCGGUGGCGAAGGCGGGUCUCUGGGCCGAUACUGACGCUGAGGAGCGAAAGCGUGGGGAGCAAACA